UAGAAACGGCACUGACUGUGUUACCACAGAUAAUAUGGUUCUUAUCAAUACGUUGACCAUGUUCAUUUCUUUCAGGACCACACCAAUCUCCAGUCCAUUCACAAUGUUAGACUCCCUCAGCUCCUCAGCCAAGCAUAUAAUGCAACAAGCACAAGAUGUUGUGAAGAAAUUAUCUCCUGCGAGACCAGAUGACCUGCAAUGUAGAAGGAAACUUUUAUAGGGUUACGAGGACUGAGUGACUACCAUACUGUCUCACACACACAUCUGUGUGGUUCGGAGACUGUUUCUAUCCAUAGGCAUUGUGGGUACUGAAUAGUGGACUGAAUGGCUGACACACAUAGGCCUGCUGGUUAUUGUAUAUAUAAAUACAGUAUGUAAAUAUAGUAAAUAUAGUUUGUAGUUGGUUAAUGAUGAAACAUGAUAAAUCCACACUAGACUUGUUCGUGGUUUUAUUCUUCACUUUUUUAUAAAUCAAAUGUUGUAUAUUAUAGUCUACACAAUGUCAUAAUGUAGACUACUUUAAUGGUGUGUGUUAUGAUAUUAUAGACUACACAAUGUCAAAAUGUAGACUACUUUAAUGAUGUGUGUUGUGAUAUUAUAACCUACACAAUGUCAUAAUGUAGACUACUUUAAUGGUGUGUGUUAUGAUAUUAUAACCUACAUAAUGUAGACUACUUUCAUGGUGUGUAUGUUUUUGUUUUCUUCACUUUUUAUAAAUCAAAUGCUGCAAUAUUCUCAAUGUUGUGAUGUCCUUUGUGUGUUUGUUUUCUACUUUUAUUAAUAAAAUGUUCAAACAAUACUGUAAUGUAUGUUGUGACAUCGCUUGUUAUACAAUGUGUCAUAAAUCUGCUGCUGGCAAUGCUU